UUCCCAGGAAGAUGAAGUUGCCUGGAAAUGUCCUUCAGCAAAUACUCUCCGUCUCCUUAAGCAUCCUGGACGGCUUUGAGUCUAACUCUUCCAACCCCAGAAACGACGUAAGAAGCGGCACAGGGAAAUAACUGCCUUUGAUGCAGCCGGAUCUCCCGCUCGGAUCCUCCAAUAGCGGGCUCGUGCCAAUCAUUCUCUGGGGAAUAAAAUCAUUGCAUAUCUGUACUGGUAUACGUCGGUGCUUUACAAACCCUUCCAGAUGGCUUUUGAAGAUGGAGGAAGGAAAGAAGCAGCAGCUGUUCUGAAGACUGAGGAUUGGGUCUUCUCAUUUGAUAAGAAUCAGUCAAGCCAAAUCAUCUCACGAGAGGUCAUUUUCUCUUCCUUGGCAAUUACCUAAUUAUUUCACUGUACCCUUUAACAGAUCGUGCCCAUUCAAAUUCCCACAGUGCUUUCCUACACCUUUGGCUCCAUUCUUUUCUCUAAAUACCCUUAUCUUUUCUUCUACUGACCCACUCAAUCUGCUCUUCAUAAUUAACAAGAGAGCAUUUAAAUUCUGUGCCCAGCGUGGAGAAAACUGGCAACCCACAAACACAAUGAACAAUGGCUAAUACACGUUUAAAAAAUAUUCAUCUUCAAUGAAUUGCAAAUAAAAACAAUAAUGCAAUUCUUUUUCUGUUUAAUUCAAAUAUUUUUUGAAAAGAAAUAUAUCAGAACAUCCACUUUUAGCAGAGGUGAGAUGAACUAAGCCCUUGUACACUGGUGGACUGGUUGAAAAUUAGGACAUAUUCUGGAAAGCAGCUGAAGGAGUUCAGAGAGUGCUACCCAAAAUAUGCCACUAUGACAUAAAGAUUAUUUUGAGCUAAAGGCAAUUGGGAAGAAGCAAACACAACAAAACUCUCUGCCCUCCCCGUCUCUACCAGGAAGGGUGGGAGGAGGCUUCAUCCCCUGACACAACUCUAGACAUGUAUGGAGCCAGCACCAGAAGCAUCUACACAGCAAACCUUGCUAACUAGCCUUUAUCGUCCAUUAGUUUCCCCAUAUAUUGACCCUACCGCAAUUUACCACCCUAAAAGCCCAAAUUCCUUUUUCAUUGUCUUGUCUCUUCUCCACAAAUUUAUUGUUCUUUGUUCAGAUGCCAUAUAAGCCCCA